GCCCUGCUGGUGCAACGGCAGCACGCCCUAUACAUGUCCCUUGGACGCGAGAUGAACACUUAGCCUGGGGAAGAGCUCGUUCGACUCGAGCGCAGGGCA